CCUACGGGUGGCAGCAGUGAGGAAUAUUGGUCAAUGGACGGAAGUCUGAACCAGCCAUGCCGCGUGAAGGAAGACGGCGCGAUGAGUUGUAAACUGCUGUUGUACAAGGGUAAACCUGAAUACGUGUAUUCAGCUGAAAGUACGGUACGAAUAAGGAUCGGCUAACUCCGUGCCAGCAGCCGCGGUAAUACGGAGGAUCCAAGCGUUAUCCGGAUUUAUUGGGUUUAAAGGGUGCGUAGGCGGAUUGAUAAGUUAGAGGUGAAAUGUCCGCGCUUAACUCGGGAACUGCCUCUCCUACUGUUGAUCUAGAGCGUAGGUGCGGUAGGCGGAAUGUUUGGUGUAGCGGU
rnacentral:rRNA from 1 species